CCCCCCCCCCCCCCCCCCCCCCCCCCCCCCCCCCCCCCCCCCCCCCCCCCCCCCCCCCCCCCCCCCCCCCCCCCCCCCCCCCCCCCCCCCCCCCCCCCCCCCCCCCCCCCCCCCCCCCCCCCCCCCCCCCCCCCCCCCCCCCCCCCCCCCCCCCCCCCCCC
rnacentral:misc_RNA from 1 species